rnacentral:rRNA from 1 species
AAUGACGGUACCUGACUAAGAAGCCCCGGCUAACUACGUGCCAGCAGCCGCGGUAAUACGUAGGGGGCAAGCGUUAUCCGGAUUUAUUGGGCGUAAAGGGAACGCAGGCGGUCUUUUAAGUCUGAUGUGAAAGCCUUCGGCUUAACCGGAGUAGUGCAUUAGGAAACGUGGGAGACUUGAGUGCAGAAGAGGAGAGUGGAACUCCAUGUGUAGCGGUAGAAAUGCGUAGAUAUAUGGAAGAACACCAGUGGACGAAAGCGGCUCUCGUGGUCUAGUAACUGACGCUGUAGGUUACGAAGCGUGGGUAGCAAACAGGAUUAGAUAC